AGGAUUAUAGUUUAAAAAAAACAUUUGAUUUGCAUUCAAAAUAUAUUAUAAUAUAUAAUUUUUCUUAA
rnacentral:tRNA from 1 species